rnacentral:rRNA from 1 species
UACGUAGGGGGCGAGCGUUGUCCGGAUUUAUUGGGCGUAAAGAGCGUGUAGGCGGCCAGAUAGGUCAGCUGUGAAAACUCGAGGCUCAACCUCGAGACGUCGGUUGAAACCGUAAGGCUAGAGUCCGGAAGAGGAGAGUGGAAUUCCCGGUGUAGCGGUGAAAUGCGCAGAUAUCGGGAAGAACACCCGUGGCGAAGGCGGCUCUCUGGGACGGUACUGACGCUGAGACGCGAAAGCGUGGGGAGCGAACAGG